rnacentral:ncRNA from 2 species
CUACCCAGGUUAUGAUAAAAUAGCCUUAAAAUGAAUAUGUUCCAGGCAAAUACGGGAAGUCAGUGCAAAUCUGACACGGUCCCGCCACUGUGAGGGGGAGCAGGCACCAUAAGCCACUGGCCCACACUCAGCAAAAUCCUGCCGUUACGGGUUAACUUCGUUCAGAAGUUAGCCGGGACGGUUUAGCUAAAGGGGUUGAGUGCUGGACUGGGAAGGCGGUGCGGUAGCUGUGAGCCCGAGUCAGGAUACCGGUUGCCUGGGAAACCUUUAC